CCGAACGGUCAUCCAUCGUAAUUUACUACCAAAAUACCGCCAGAGGUGGAUCAUACUUCUCGUGCUGCCUGCUUGACAGCUGAAACGUUUAGUCAUGCAAUUCGCGCUAAAAUGACAACAAUCUGUACUUUUGUGUGUUCGGGAGUGGAUAUUAUAUGUGGCUUGUAUUGUGGGAAUGUGAAAACGAAGGAUUUAUUUCACCCACCUUGUGUCGUUCGAAGGGGUCGGCCAGUGUGCCGAGCGUUUGAACUUUAGUUACUUGCUGAAAACAUGACAGAAAAGCCCGAGAGGAAAGAUGACAACACUAGUGUCCGAGUUGCAAUUAGAGUUCGGCCCCAGAAUGCUAAGGAACGGAUCGACAUCUGCCAGGUGUGCACCACCGUGCCCAAUAACGAGCCACAGGUACUGCUGGGGAAGGACAAGUCCUUCACCUUCGACCAUGUGUACGACAUGGACACUGUGCAGGAGACCAUCUACAACACAUGUGUCAGGCACCUCAUUGAUGGAUGCUUUGAUGGUUACAAUGCCACAGUGUUCGCAUAUGGACAGACUGGAUCUGGAAAAACUUACACCAUGGGAACAGGAUUUGACGUAAACACACCCCAAGCAGAAGUAGGCAUUAUACCCCGAGCUGUUGAUCAUCUUUUUCAAGGAAUUGAAUCAAGACGCAAGGCAGCUUUGGCCAAUGAUGAACCUCCCCCAGAUUUUAGAGUCAACGCUCAGUUCAUGGAGUUAUACAAUGAGGAAAUCCUGGAUUUACUUGACACAACAAGGGACCCAGAAUCAAGGGGCCGCAAGUCUCACAUCAAGAUCCACGAGGAUGCAGCUGGAGGGAUCUACGUCGUUGGGGUCACAACUCGAACUGUCGUGUCACUUGAAGAUACUAUGAAGUGUCUCAACAUUGGUGCCCUGUCCAGAGCCACUGCCAGCACCAACAUGAACGUCCAGUCAUCGCGCUGCUCCCACGCCAUCUUCACUUUGCACAUCAAGCAGCACAGAAUGGUCAAGGAGGAGCCCUUGCUGGAUGAGGGCAAGGACACCGACUCCACACAGUCCAUCAAUGAGUUCGAGACCCUGACCGCCAAGUUCCACUUUGUAGAUCUGGCUGGGUCAGAGAGGUUGAAGCGAACUGGAGCGACAGGGGAAAGAGCCAAGGAGGGCAUAUCCAUCAACUGUGGCCUGCUUGCCUUAGGUAAUGUGAUAUCAGCAUUAGGAGACAAGUUAAAGAAAGGUUCACAUGUUCCAUACCGAGACUCCAAGCUGACAAGACUGUUACAAGACUCACUUGGUGGUAACAGUCGCACUCUGAUGAUUGCCUGUAUUUCCCCGUCUGACCGCGAUUUCAUGGAGACCCUCAACACACUGAAGUACGCUAACCGUGCCAAGAACAUCAAGAACAAGGUGAUCGCCAACCAGGACAAGGCCAGCAAACAGAUGGCUGCUCUACGGACGGAGAUAGCCACCCUGCAGCAGGAGCUUAUCGACUACAAGGCGGGCAAGCUUGUUGUUGGUUCUGAUGGUGUGGGGAGCAUGAGUGACUUGCACCAUGAGAACAACAUGCUACUGAUGGAGAACGACAAGCUGCGCCAGAGAGUGAAGGCUCUGAACGACACGGUGGAGACAAUGAAGGCCAGGAACUCUCAACUACUGGCAGAGAAAGCCGUUCUUGCCGUCACAGGUGCUAAUGGAGAGACGUCAAAUGAGGAGGUGACCAACUUGAUAACUGGUUAUGUGAAAGAGCUGGAGGAUCUGAGGGCCAAACUAGCCGAGUCAUCAGCUAUGGUUACUCAUGCCCAGAAAUAUUCUGUGCGUAGUCCGUCUCGACUGAUGGUCAGUCCCAUGUCCACCACAUUCCCAUCGUCUGGGGGGUUCGACUACCCCCUAUCCCCUGACAACAGUGUCAUGGCUCUCAUCGUGGAGGCCAAGAAGGAUGUCAAGAAGCUCAAGAAAGUCAAGAGGUCCAAGUCAAGGCAAUCUAAUCAGGGCAGUGAUAAAGAGAAUGAGGGUGAAGAAGGGGGAGGUGAGAUGCCAGCAAUGCCGGAGGGCAAGGAGAAUGGGGAAGAAGAAGUAGGGGAAGUGGAGCAUGAGGAGAGUCAGGAGAAGUCAGAGGAUGAGGAGGAUGACGAAGAAGAUAUUGAAGACGAUGAUGAAGAAGACACAACUGAAGAUGAAGUAAGCUCUUCUGAAUCCGACUCCGAAGAUAAAGUUGAACUUUUCCUGGAUUAUGGUCGCUUCUGGUCAGACUCGGACCACAUCCAUGAGGACCUGGCUGAGCUGACCUGUGAGAUCACCAUCAAGCAGCGCCUUAUAGAGGAGCUGGAACACAGCCAGAAGAAGGUCCACGCCAUCAAGCAGCAGUACGAGGAGAAGGUGAUACAGCUGCAGCAGCGCAUCAAGGAGACGGAGAUAGAGAGGGACAAGAUCCUAUCUAAUGUUGGUCAGCUGGAGUCGGUGUCCAAUGAGAAGCAAAAGAAGGUGAAGGAUGAGUUUGCAAAGAAGCUGGGAGAUCUGCAGAUGGAGCUGAAGAAGAUGCAGGCUGCCAAACGGGAACAUGCCAAGAUGGUGCGCAACCAGAGUCACUUCGAGAAGCAGCUCAAGACACUGCAGCACGAAAUGCAGGAGAUGAAGAAGACCAAGGUGCGACUGAUGAAGCAGAUUAAAGAGGACGGUGAGAAAAACAAGCAGAGUGAGACGCGCAGGAACAAGGAGAUUGCUCAGAUGAGGCGUGAGUUUACUCGAAAGGAGAACCGGAUCAGAAACCUGGAGAGAGAAAAGAACCAGAAGGAGCAGGUGUUGAGGCGGAAGCAGGAGGAGGUAGAGGCGCUGCGGAAACGUCAGAAACCCCUGUCUUCCCGUGCUGCUGGGCGCAUCGGCAAAUAUGAAAAAGCACCCACCAUUCCAAUAGACCCUAUAUCUACCUCAUCACCACGAAGACGAAGAAGAAAUGAAUUUUCUCCUAAAGCUGCUAAACAAAAAUGGGACAUUAUAGAGAAGAAUGUUGGAUCUGUGAUAACAAAACGUCAGACGAUAUCUCACAUGGAGAAGGACAUGGAUGUCUGGCUGAAGCAAAGGGAGAAGUUAAGCAAGAAGCUGGAGAAGUUUGUCAAGAAAAGAGAUUCCUACAUUGCACUUCAGAGGAGUGCUGAGAUCGUCCGGGACCUGGGCGACCAGAUCCAGAGUCUGAAGAACCAGAUUGAGUAUGUCCAGGACAACAUUAAUGAGUGUCAGACCAACAUCAUGCAGAUGGAGGAAGCCAAGGAGGAGACCGAGAACCUGGAUGUUGGUGCUGUCAUCUCUACAGUGUCACUGGAGGAGGCAAAAUACCUUCUUGAACACUUCCUCCAACUUUCAAUCAACAAGGGCAUGGCUCUAGCUCUCAAGGAUUCCGAAUCCAAGGAGUUAUUAGCAAAGCUGCAUCAGACAGAGCUGAACAACACCCUGCAACAGGAUCUGCUGAAACACAUGAUGAUGGAUCAUGUCGACAUAGAGGUGGACAAUCUGAUGUCCAACAAUGACGAACUCGAUGAGUUUGACAUUGAAAGCUGCACUACAUCAGCUUCCUCUUCCCCUGCAGAAAGGGCAGCUCACAAUGAGGUAGCAAGGUGUGUACAGAUGCCUGGCCAAUCUAGUGCUGCUCUGCUGCCUAUUAAUAUCUUGGUAACAAAGGCUCGUCGAAAGACCGCCACACCAGAAGAUCUACUGUAUGCUGGGGGUCCUCAGGAAGGUUGUCCGCCUUUGCUUCCUGUUCUAGAGACUCCAGAUGAAGACAAGGAGAUCCUGUGGCCGGUCAAGGAGGAGCUGGAGGGCAUGCCAGUCAAUGGGACAGACACUGUCCUGAUGCCACCUCCCAAGUCUCUGGCUGUAAAGCCAAAUAGCUCAAUACCAAGGCCCAUGAGUGGUAAGCGCCCCGAUUCUGGCCCGUCACCCAGCCUGAGACGGAAGGAGUUCAAGCGUAACAACAGCCCUGAACCCUCCCCCGUGAUGAGGAGGAAGAACUACUCUGACCGCUACGGGAGUCGAUCUAGUUCCAUAGAUACUUCCUCAGACACCACGCCACCCACAUCUCCUCCUGCCCUCCGCCGGUCAGGACGUAGCAGUGAUGAAAAUGUCUUCUCUCGUCUCACAAGCAAUCCCCAGAGCACUAGUCCCAACCCUAACAGGGGCAGCAUUGUUUCUGUCAGCGGACGACCCUCAAGUGGAAGGUCAUCACCUUUGACCUGCACACACACAGCUGAAGGUCACACUAAGGCAGUCCUUGCAGUUCAUGCUACUGAUGAUCUCCUGUUUACUGGUAGUAAAGAUCGUACAGCCAAGACAUGGGACCUGGUUACUGGCAAGGAGAUCCUGGCAUACACAGGACACCCCAACAAUGUAGGCAAGGUGAAGUACUGUGAGGCCACCAAACUCGCUUUCACCGUAUCCCAGUCCUUCAUCAAAGUGUGGGACAUCCGGAGCAAGUCUGCACAGUGUAUCAAGACGCUGGGAUCCUCUGGACUGAGUGUGACUGGUCCAGCCAAUCAGACCUAUCAGUCCCGCCAGACCGACCUGGCCCCUGGUGAACAUCACAUCAACGACAUCGCCCUUGGGAGUGAUGGUGUCACACUGUACUGUGCUACAGGCAAUAUAGUCAGAGUCUGGGAUCUCAGGAGAUACAGUGCAGUGGGGAAGCUGAGUGGAGGCCACCAGGCAGCUGUUAUGGUGCUGGCUGUAGAUGCUAGCACAGACUCCAGCACUGUCAUCACAGGAUCCAAGGACCACUAUAUUAAGGUGUUUGAGGUGAUGGAUGAUGCUGCAGGCGUGUUCACCCCCAAGUACAACCUGGAGCCCCCUCACUAUGACGGAAUACAGUCUCUAGCUCUCCACGGCAGCAUGCUGUUCAGUGGCUCCCGGGAUACUUGUAUCAAGAAGUGGGACCUCAAGGACCAGCAGCUGAAGCAGUCAAUGAAUGCUGCACACAAGGACUGGGUGUGUGCACUGGACUUCAUGCCAGGAGGCAACUUCCUGUUGAGUGCAUGCAGAGGCGGCAUUCUCAAGCUCUGGCAGAUGGACUCCUGUGCUCAGAUUGCCGAAAUCAAGGCUCAUUCCAGCCCCAUCAAUGCCAUCUCAACCAAUUCCACCUCAAUCUUCACUGCGUCCAAUGAGCCUGUGGUGAAAAUAUGGCAACUUCGAAGAACUAACAGUCUACGAAUCUUUAACCGGGAGUGGUUCAUCUAACACGACUAACACUGACCAAUAUUUGUCAUCAUCAUUGCAUACUCCAGCGACUACUGUCUACAGUGACAACACCGUAGCAUUCUGGAGACACAGAACCACCACCGACCCUUGCGAUAUCUCAGACUUUGGAGAUGACCAGCAAGGGCCCACUUCCUGAAGUUAAGCACUUCACCUAGAUCCAUGAAUUGAUGAUACUCAAGCAAGUACCUCCAUCCAAGUAAAGAUUUGUCCUACAAAUACAGAAUGUGCAAACUGUGUCUGAAGUUAGUGCUUUGUGUGUAUUGUAAGCUGACACACUGGACUAAUGUGUGAAUCUGUACACAUCCAUUCUAGUGGAUUGGUGAGAGAAAGGUGAACAUGUUCUGUAUCAAAUUGUUUCUGUUUUAUCGAGUAACCCAUUGAUUUUUGGAAUCUGAAAACCAAGGUCAAAUUUCUGAAAUUUCUUGUUUUCCCUUCACAUUGCAGGUGAAAACAUAAUGUGCCCUUUUCUAGAAGAUAAGUGUUCAAAGAACAUUAUUUGUUAUUUGUAUUUAUAUAAAACAAAUAUAAUUGAGUACCUGCUCAUGUUGGAAAAUAUAUGAGCAGCUUAUCAUGAACUCUGCAUCCCCAACCUUCCCGAAAAUCUUAUGGUUCCUCCCUAACAAUGACGUUUUAUUUUCACUUUUCACUUGUAAUUAAAACUUUUGAUACUUAC